GGUUAAGCGACUAAGCGUACACGGUGGAUGCCCUGGCAGUCAGAGGCGAUGAAGGACGUGCUAAUCUGCGAUAAGCGUCGGUAAGGUGAUAUGAACCGUUAUAACCGGCGAUUUCCGAAUGGGGAAACCCAGUGUGAUUCGUCACACUAUCAUUAACUGAAUCCAUAGGUUAAUGAGGCGAACCGGGGGAACUGAAACAUCUAAGUACCCCGAGGAAAAGAAAUCAACCGAGAUUCCCCCAGUAGCGGCGAGCGAACGGGGAGCAGCCCAGAGCCUGAAUCAGUGUGUGUGUUAGUGGAAGCGUCUGGAAAGGCGUGCGAUACAGGGUGACAGCCCCGUACACAAAAAUGCACAUACUGUGAGCUCGAUGAGUAGGGCGGGACACGUGGUAUCCUGUCUGAAUAUGGGGGGACCAUCCUCCAAGGCUAAAUACUCCUGACUGACCGAUAGUGAACCAGUACCGUGAGGGAAAGGCGAAAAGAACCCCGGCGAGGGGAGUGAAAAAGAACCUGAAACCGUGUACGUACAAGCAGUGGGAGCACGCUUAGGCGUGUGACUGCGUACCUUUUGUAUAAUGGGUCAGCGACUUAUAUUCUGUAGCAAGGUUAACCGAAUAGGGGAGCCGAAGGGAAACCGAGUCUUAACUGGGCGUUAAGUUGCAGGGUAUAGACCCGAAACCCGGUGAUCUAGCCAUGGGCAGGUUGAAGGUUGGGUAACACUAACUGGAGGACCGAACCGACUAAUGUUGAAAAAUUAGCGGAUGACUUGUGGCUGGGGGUGAAAGGCCAAUCAAACCGGGAGAUAGCUGGUUCUCCCCGAAAGCUAUUUAGGUAGCGCCUCGUGAAUUCAUCUCCGGGGGUAGAGCACUGUUUCGGCAAGGGGGUCAUCCCGACUUACCAACCCGAUGCAAACUGCGAAUACCGGAGAAUGUUAUCACGGGAGACACACGGCGGGUGCUAACGUCCGUCGUGAAGAGGGAAACAACCCAGACCGCCAGCUAAGGUCCCAAAGUCAUGGUUAAGUGGGAAACGAUGUGGGAAGGCCCAGACAGCCAGGAUGUUGGCUUAGAAGCAGCCAUCAUUUAAAGAAAGCGUAAUAGCUCACUGGUCGAGUCGGCCUGCGCGGAAGAUGUAACGGGGCUAAACCAUGCACCGAAGCUGCGGCAGCGACGCUUAUGCGUUGUUGGGUAGGGGAGCGUUCUGUAAGCCUGCGAAGGUGUGCUGUGAGGCAUGCUGGAGGUAUCAGAAGUGCGAAUGCUGACAUAAGUAACGAUAAAGCGGGUGAAAAGCCCGCUCGCCGGAAGACCAAGGGUUCCUGUCCAACGUUAAUCGGGGCAGGGUGAGUCGACCCCUAAGGCGAGGCCGAAAGGCGUAGUCGAUGGGAAACAGGUUAAUAUUCCUGUACUUGGUGUUACUGCGAAGGGGGGACGGAGAAGGCUAUGUUGGCCGGGCGACGGUUGUCCCGGUUUAAGCGUGUAGGCUGGUUUUCCAGGCAAAUCCGGAAAAUCAAGGCUGAGGCGUGAUGACGAGGCACUACGGUGCUGAAGCAACAAAUGCCCUGCUUCCAGGAAAAGCCUCUAAGCAUCAGGUAACAUCAAAUCGUACCCCAAACCGACACAGGUGGUCAGGUAGAGAAUACCAAGGCGCUUGAGAGAACUCGGGUGAAGGAACUAGGCAAAAUGGUGCCGUAACUUCGGGAGAAGGCACGCUGAUAUGUAGGUGAAGUCCCUCGCGGAUGGAGCUGAAAUCAGUCGAAGAUACCAGCUGGCUGCAACUGUUUAUUAAAAACACAGCACUGUGCAAACACGAAAGUGGACGUAUACGGUGUGACGCCUGCCCGGUGCCGGAAGGUUAAUUGAUGGGGUUAGCGCAAGCGAAGCUCUUGAUCGAAGCCCCGGUAAACGGCGGCCGUAACUAUAACGGUCCUAAGGUAGCGAAAUUCCUUGUCGGGUAAGUUCCGACCUGCACGAAUGGCGUAAUGAUGGCCAGGCUGUCUCCACCCGAGACUCAGUGAAAUUGAACUCGCUGUGAAGAUGCAGUGUACCCGCGGCAAGACGGAAAGACCCCGUGAACCUUUACUAUAGCUUGACACUGAACAUUGAGCCUUGAUGUGUAGGAUAGGUGGGAGGCUUUGAAGUGUGGACGCCAGUCUGCAUGGAGCCGACCUUGAAAUACCACCCUUUAAUGUUUGAUGUUCUAACGUUGACCCGUAAUCCGGGUUGCGGACAGUGUCUGGUGGGUAGUUUGACUGGGGCGGUCUCCUCCUAAAGAGUAACGGAGGAGCACGAAGGUUGGCUAAUCCUGGUCGGACAUCAGGAGGUUAGUGCAAUGGCAUAAGCCAGCUUGACUGCGAGCGUGACGGCGCGAGCAGGUGCGAAAGCAGGUCAUAGUGAUCCGGUGGUUCUGAAUGGAAGGGCCAUCGCUCAACGGAUAAAAGGUACUCCGGGGAUAACAGGCUGAUACCGCCCAAGAGUUCAUAUCGACGGCGGUGUU
rnacentral:rRNA from 1 species